rnacentral:rRNA from 1 species
UACGGGGGGAGCAAGCGUUGUUCGGAUUUACUGGGCGUAAAGGGCGCGUAGGCGGUCAGCACAAGUCAGUUGUGAAAUCUCCGGGCUUAACUCGGAAAGGUCAACUGAUACUGUGCGACUAGAGUGCAGAAGGGGCAACUGGAAUUCUCGGUGUAGCGGUGAAAUGCGUAGAUAUCGAGAGGAACACCUGCGGCGAAGGCGGGUUGCUGGGCUGACACUGACGCUGAUGCGCGAAAGCCAGGGGGAGCGAACGGG